AUUGAACGCUGGCGGCAUGCCUAACACAUGCAAGUCGAACGGCAGCACGGCAGUAGCAAUACUGUGGGUGGCGAGUGGCGGACGGGUGAGGAAUACGUCGGAAUCUGCCCAAUCGUGGGGGAUAACUAACCGAAAGGUUAGCUAAUACCGCAUACGACCGAGAGGUGAAAGCGGGGGACCGCAAGGCCUCGCGCGAUUGGAUGAGCCGACGUCGGAUUAGCUUGUUGGUGGGGUAAAGGCCUACCAAGGCAACGAUCCGUAGCUGGUCUGAGAGGAUGAUCAGCCACACUGGAACUGAGACACGGUCCAGACUCCUACGGGAGGCAGCAGUGGGGAAUAUUGGACAAUGGGCGCAAGCCUGAUCCAGCAAUGCCGCGUGUGUGAAGAAGGCCU
rnacentral:rRNA from 1 species